GCCCUCCAUCAUCCAUUUUAUUUUACUUUCUACAUUAUUAAUCAAAUCAAAAUCACAUUAACUAAUCCUUGAUGUGAAAUUGAGAAUAAAUUUAUGGAGUGAUAGUGAUUUUGGUCCAAGCGUGGAUCACUUCCGCCCCUGUACUUAAAAAAAUAGAAAAUUGAGAGCUUAUUCAAAGCCCUACUUUGAUAUCAUGAAGAAGGUCCUAGCUGGAACUAAAACUUGUAUUAUCCCCCCAAAAAUGGGGAACGUGUAUUGUGGCCUACAGGGUGGGGGAUGGCAAUCAGAUGAAUAUGUCCCAAUAUUAUAAACAGUGGAAUAUUAUGGUUCAUGCAAAGCAAAACAAAGUAAAGGUUCUGAGCAGAUGAAACUGUGUAAUUAGGAUGUGGGCUCCUAGGAUUGGUUCGUCAAAGGUCAACUGCAAUGGAUCAUCAAAUUUAAAGGUUCCUCUUUCUUUUAAUCUCAAAUCUUAUCCUUAAUUAGGAUGAGAAAUGUGAAAUGAAUCAAAUAAUAGUAUACAAGUUGAUUUUUUUUGGAAUU